rnacentral:rRNA from 1 species
GGAGCAUGUGGCUUAAUUUGACUCAACGCGGGAAAUCUUACCAGGUCAGGACACAUUGAGGAUUGACAGACAGUUAACAGAUUGAAGCUGUUUUUAAACCUAACAGCUCUUUCAUGAUUAUGUGAUAGGUGGUGCAUGGCCGUUCUUAGUUCGUGGAGUGAUCUGUCUGCUUAAUUGCGUUUCAAAACUAACACACAGAGAGCUUAGGGGCACCGUUUGUUGAGUCCCUUUUACUAUACUCAAUGUCAAAACUCCUCAAUGAUCAUUACGUGAGGGGAGUGGAGAUACAUUCGGAUGCAAUAUCUUUGCUCUCUUUUGAACGCAACGGACGUGAUUGCGACCCCUUGUUGAGUCCCUUAACAAUACUCUAUAUUUGCGCGGCCUAAUGAUCUUAUGUGAAGGUCGCGCAGAUAAACUCGGGGGACCGCUGUACUCAUUCUUCUUUAAACCAGAGGAAGAUUGCGGCAAUAACAGGUCUGUGAUGCCCUCAGAUGUCCUGGGCUGCACACGUGCUACAUUGACCAGCACAGUGAGCAACUUUCAAUUUGAAACAUCGGUUUAAUAAUCUGUCACUCGUUGGCGGAUGGUUACCGAUAGCGCCUGGUCUUUAACAGACUAGGUAAUCUUUUGAAGUGCUGCUAAGAUUUUCUGAAUUGAGCUUAUCAAAACACGCGCUGAUUUCACUACAAACAGUCCACUGCCAGUUCCAAAUUGCACCGCGGCUGGUGGAACUUUAGCGUAUGCAACAUGUUAAUUCUUCGUGGGGAUAGACGCUUGAAACUUUCCGUCUCGUCCUUAACUGGGAAUGCCUUGUACGGGUCAUGGUUCAACAUACCACCCGGAAUACGUCCCUGCCCUUUGUACACACCGCCCGUCGCUCUUACCGAUGAACUUUACUGUGAGUUUGAAGGACUACUCACACUGUGAUCGGAAAUUCAGUCAAACAGAGCCGCUAAAGAAAGAG